UCAACAUUGUUCAUCCCCUAUUUUUUCUGUCUUUCGCCAACUAGCUUCAUCCAGAAGAUGCUCUUUCUGCUACCUGUCCUGUCUCUCUUGCCUUUCUUUUAGGUGGCUAAAAAUAUGUUUUUCUGCCGUCCCCGUCCACAGCACUGUAUUGCUUUGCUCUGGUGUUGGAACCCCUGCCUGUUUCUCCAAGCUGGGGUCGUGUCGACCGAUCACUUGAUGAAACCUGAGCUCCAUUUGCUAACGCAGUGGUUCCCAACCUUUCCGAGUCUCGACCCCCAGAAUAAUCAGGUUGGUGUUUGUGACCCUCCCACCCGGCGUAAACCGUUGUUUCUCUGUGCCUCCCCUUGCUGAUUUUGAGUGAUUAUUGUGAAUGUUCUGAUUAAUAAAUGUAAGUUAAAUAAAUAAUGCUUUGUUUGUGAUGACAGUUUAGUUUAGUUUAGUCUAGUUUGAACAGGUAGCACCUAGGCAUUGUCCAAUGUGAUCCAGGCGCCGUGGACUUUUGAUGCAUUUUGUGACUUUUUCUUUCCCCCUGACCUGCCAUAACUCCGCACAAUUUUUCUCCCAUGACCACAGUCAAUAAAAUGUAUUCUGAGACUAAUUAUAUCACUGGUACAGGUGAUGUAAU